UACGUAUGGGGCGAGCGUUGUCCGGAUUUAUUGGGCGUAAAGAGCUCGUAGGCGGCUCGGUAAGUCGGGUGUGAAACCUCCAGGCUCAACCUGGAGACGCCACCCGAUACUGCCAUGGCUUGAGUCCGGUAGGGGAUCACGGAAUACAUGGUGUAGCGGUGAAAUGCGCAGAUAUCAUGUGGAACACCAGUGGCGAAGGCGGUGAUCUGGGCCGGUACUGACGCUGAGGAGCGAAAGCGUGGGGAGCAAACAGG
rnacentral:rRNA from 1 species